rnacentral:lncRNA from 1 species
AUGGCGUUGCACUGGUUAAGAGCAUCGAGCGCGGAGGCAAAGGGAUUGAAAGCCAUUAAUUUGACUACCUUACCGAACCUUGUGAGAUCAAGAACAGAGGUCUUCACGGCCUCUGUAUUCUGUCCAAUCUCGUCUAUCCCAUGAGCCUGGAAAAGAGAGUAACCUGACGCCGAUUCAUAGAGAAGAUAUAGAGCCAUCGAUCCGGCGACGAAAGUAGGAGAAGAUGGUGAUUUCCGGCGUAAUGUUAGAGAUGGAGAUAGAAAUUAGGUUUUAGGGCUAUGGGAUCUUGGGUUUUGGGUUAUUUCUCUUCCGGUCCUAACUUUUAAUAGGAAAAAUUCCAAGGGUGAUAGGAUGGAGAAAUAUCCGGAUCUAAAAAGUUCCCCGUACCCGGCCAAAUGAUACCCGGUUAGAUAUAUUUUAAGUUUUAAUUUCUGAUUUUUUUUGUUUUUUGAUAUUUUAUAAUUCUGAUAUUAAAUAAAAUAAUAUAAACCAGAAAAUAAAGAAAAAAUAAUAAUAUAAAAUUUAAUAAUUAAUAAAUAAAAUAGAAAAUAUUAUAUUGGGAUAAUAAUCAUAAUAUCAUAAAUUCAUAAUAGCAUUUGAGAAUUUUUUAUAAUAAUACCUUUUAAAACAUUAGAUUUAUAUAUUAAAUAUAUUACAUAGGGUUGUAUUCAUAAAUUAUACCAUAUUAUAUAGGGUUAUAUUAAUAAAUUAUAUUUUCUACUUCGGAUAGAAAAAUCCUCCCCGUACCCAACCAACCGGUGGGAGACGGGUCUAGAAAUCUCACCUCUAACUCUAUGCUUUAUGGAAAAUUUCUCGUCAAUAAUUUAAAAAAAAGUAGAAAAUAAAUAAAUUAGACGACUGUUUAAGAAGCAUGAGAUCGACAUUAGGUGUCUCUCAUCUGAUCUCUUAGUUUUCUACAAAGCAAGACCAAGAUCCUUAGAGGCAAUCAAAGAAGCUUUCACAAAGUUGGAAAAUAUAUAACACUAGCGUAGGUGUGAGCAAAAAUAAAUCUGAAGUAUUCUUAAUUUUCUAUGGUAACUAAAGAAAAGAAUAGGAUUGAUUACAUCUAGAUAUAAACAAGGAAAAUUUUCAACUAAAUACUUAGGAUUGAUUACAUCUAACCCUUAGGAUCUUAUACCACAAAGACUGUGAAUCCCUGAUAUAAAGAAGAGUUAGAGGGCUGGAAAACUAGACUACUAUUCUCAGGCCAUGGGGGAAGAUCGAAGGGUUCAACUAUUCCAUUAGUUUUCGACAAAACAAAUGAAACCCAUUUUUUUUCUUCUGAAAAGCUUCUUAACAGUUACAGUCCUUUCUUCAUUCUUCGUUUAAAAUGGCUCGUUCCUUUAUUAUCAACCAAGAUGACAUCACUCAGGUUAUAACUUAUAACUACCUCUUUUUUUUUCACCCUAAGGUGCCUCUCUCUUUUCUUUGCCUGAUUUCCGUUGAAUCUAUUCAUUUUGCUUCAGAAGUCGACAUGGAACGUCGCAGAAGAUUGCCGAGAUCUGUUGUUUCAGAAGUCGAGACGGAAAGAAGUACAUGUUGCUGCCGUCACGCCAAAUCCUCACCAUAUAAACAGCACAUCUUCUGUCACCACUGGUGUGUAUUAUCCAAAUCCGGCACUAACAACGCCCAUCGUCAGAUGCAGGUCAAUCAGGUGGACAAAUCUCUAAAGCAACAUAUGACUGUAGCAACAAUGGUUUUGUUUAUCAAUCUUUAACUGAUUUUUUUUAUAUUUGAAAUUUCUAGUUAAUUUCAUGAGCUGAAGCAACAGCAAAUGAUCAGGCUACGACAACAGUGUUCUGCGGCUUGGGGCAGGCAUAAUAGAGAAAGGAGGGUGGUUGGGUAUGUGAAAAAGAACCCAACAGGGUUCUUGCGAUUAAGCGGAAGUUUGAGUAAAGAAGAUGAUGUGUACGAGAAGAGGAGAAGAAGAAGAUUAGGGUUUAGAAGCCGUAAGGUUUUUAGGGUUUACCUUUGCCCUUUUAUAUUAAUUCAUAGUGUAUUAGAUCUUUGGUCCAAUCACUUAAACAUGUUCGGCCCUUCUGGUCCAUUCAGAAUUUAAUCAUACAACAAUACAUUAAUAAUAAGUCAAAUUACUCUACUAAUCUAAUUUAUCUUAAUCGUCCGGACUAUGGCUGCACCCUGAUGAUCCAUGAUCCUUGACUAAAUCUUGUAAACCUGAAAUUAACCAAAUGUAAUUUUAACACUCUCCCUCAAGUUGGAGAGUAUGGAUCUAAGACAUCCAACUUGACAAGAAACUUCGAUAUUUCCUUUUCUCCCAAUGGUUUUGUCAAUAGAUAUGCUGGUUGACUAGUUGUGCCAAUGAAGGCCAACUGCAUUGUAUUUGAUUGAAUCUUCUCUCUGAUGAAAUGACAGUCUAUUCCUAUAUGCUUCGUUCUCUCAUGAAAAAUUGGAUUAUUAGCAAUAUGAAUAGCUGAUAUGUUAUCACAAUGAAGUAUCGCUUCUCCUGAAGUAUUUACCUUGAACUCAUGUAACAAAUAUUGAAUGAAUGUUACCUCUGCUGUGGCAUUGCCAUAGACCUAUAUUCUGCUUCUGCAGAAGAUCUUGAUACAACUGGUUGCUUCUUUGAUUUCCAUGAAAUUAAUGAAGUUCCCAGCGAAACACAAUAACCUGUUAUAGACCUUCUCGUUUUUGGACAGGCUGCCCAAUCUGCAUCACAGUGAGCUAUUAUUCUCAAAUCAUUAUCAUGCCUGUACAUUAGCCCUCUUCCUGGGGUGCCUUUCAGAUAUCUCAACACUUUUAGUGCUGCAUCCAUGUGUGAUUGUUUUGGUUGCUGCAUAUGUUGACUCAAACUUGUCACUGCAUGUGUGAUAUCUAUCCUUGUUAUCAACAAAUAUAUCAAUUUUCCAACCAAUCUCUUGUAUGGUGUUGGAUCUGUCAAAAUUUCUGAAUCAUUUGUUUCAAUGUGAGACGUUCUAUCCAUUGGUAUUGAAGAAGGACACCCCAACAAUCCAUAUUCCUUCAACGUAUCUAGUGCGUACUUUCUUUGAUUCAGAUGUAUCCCCUGUGGCAAGUAUAAUAAUUCUAAACCCAAGAAGUACCUUAAUUUUCCCAGAUCUUUGAUGUGGAAUACUUCCUGCAAUUUUACUUUAAGUUUUAGAAUUGUUUCAUUGUCAUUACCUGUGAUUAUAAUAUCGUCCACAUAUACUAAUAAAUGAAUAAUUUAAUUUACCUCCAUUUGUGUAUGUGAACAAUGAAUAAUCUACCAGUGACUAGAUGAAUCCCAUCUCAAUUAGUCUCAUUCUCAAUUUUGCAAACCAAUUGCGUGAUGCUUGUUUUAAUCCAUAAAUUGAUUUCUUCAAUUUACAUACACGCAUAUCAUUAUUUUUCAACAUACCUGCAGGAGGCUUCAUGUAGAUUUCCUCAUCCAGGUCUCCUUGCAAAAAAGCAUUGUGCGCAUCCAUUUGAUGCAAAGAAGAACAAGGAUAUCAGGAUUUCGCAUCAAACAAACCUCCUAUCUUUGAUGAAACCAGGUAUGAAAUUUUGGAAGAAGAAAAUGAGGAUGCAUCUGAUGUCGCUACACAGUGAGAUAUGGAGAGUCACUCAUGAAGAAUAUGAGCCUCCAACUAUAAAAGAAAUCAAAUGAACUAUUCUAGACAAACAAAGAUGCAGAUUCAAUGCAAGAGCAAUGAAUGCACUUUAUGGAGCAUUAGAUGAAUCUGAGUACAUAAAUCUCCUUCUCCAAGUACAUCUGUAUCAUAUAAUAAAUAUUUCUCCUUCUCCAAGUACGUCUGUAUCAUAUAAUAAAUAUUUCGUGCGAGAAUCCACACACAAAGAUACUCAGACUAAACUUAAAAGGAUCUCUCCCGAUAAUAAAAUAAACAUAAAAGAAAAAUGGAUGAGUAAAGAAGAGCUGCAACAUUUUAAAAAUAUUUAUGUUUAUCUUUUAGGACCCAAAAAGUUUUGGGUACCAAAAACCAUGCUCUUAUCCACAGGUCAAUCAAAUGUCCAAAUGGCUAUUCGACAGUGGAUGCACUCGUCACAUGACUGGAAACACAAGCCUGCUAAGAGAUAUAGUGUCAGUUCCCAAAGGGAAAACUGUCAUCUUCGCAGAUGACAAAAAAGGUACCAUAAUAGGAAUAGGUACAGUAGGUAGUGUAAAUAAUUUUUUUCUUAAAAAUGUAUAUUUAGUAGAAGGUUUAAAACAUAACCUAAUUAGCAUAAGCUAGCUAUGUGAUAUAGGUUAUAUAUUUAAAUUCGGAAAACAGUUGUGCAGAAUCACAAAUUCCGAAAAUAAAGUUAUUGCAGAAGGAAUUAGAGAACACAAUGCGUACUCUAUUGUUUUUGACCAAACUAUCUCUUCUCAUGAAAAUUGCAUGUCAGCAGCUAAUGAUGAGAAAAUCCUAUGACACAAAAGAUUGGGUCAUACUAGUUACUCCAAACUGACCAAACUAUCAAAAGGAUAUCUAGUUAGAGGAUUACCUAAGAUUACCUACAAUCAAGAUAGCUCCUGCAACUCUUGUCAAAAGAGAAAGCAACAUAAACCCUUUAAAUCUAUCUUGGAGGUAACUACAUCUCGACUGCUUGAACUUCUGCACUUGGAUCUUUUCGGAUCAACCCAAACUUAAAGUGUAGAAGGGAAGAGAUAUACAUUUAUAAUUAUAGACGAUUACACUAGGUACACUUGGGUAUUCUUAUUAAGAAAUAAGGAUGAAGCCAUCUGUGAAUUCUCAUCAUUCUGUACAAGAGUGCAAAAUGAAAAAGAUCUCUCCAUUAUAAAAAUCCGGAGUGAUCACAGUGGAAAAUUCGAAAGUGCAGAAUUUGAAGAUUUCGGUAAAACCUAUGACUUUAAAUAUGAGUUUUCCUUUCCUCAAGAAUCUCCCCAAAAUGGAAUUGUUGAGAGAAAGAACCGAACUCUACAAGAGAUGGUAAGACACAUGUUAAAUGAACAUGAUACAUCUCGUAUUCUUUGGACUGAAGCAGUAAACACGGCAUGCUAUACAUUAAACAGAGUCUCAAUCAGACAAAUACUAAAUAAGACUCCAUAUGAGAUUUGGAAGAAUCGGAAACCCAAAAUAGCAUAUUUCAAAAUAUUCGGAUGUAAAUGUUUUGUCUCAAGGACUCAAGAAACAUAACUUACUCCCAAGCUGGAUGAAGGAAUAUUCACGGGUUACUCAGAACGAAGUAGAGCAUACAGAAUAUUCAUCAAAGAGUUUCAAACUAUAAUUGAAUCACUUCAUGUGGACUUUGAUGAAUAUCUAAAGGAUAAUCUAGUGAGCUUUCCAAACACAAGGAAAAACCAGAAGGAGUCAACUGUAUUAACUGAUCAGACUCCAUCAUCUAAAGAUUCACAAAUAGUUCACCCAAGUAGAACCUUAAUCCAUUCUGAAGAUCAGAUUAUAGAAGAUAAAGAUGAUGGGGUUCGAACAAGAUCAACCACUCAAAACAACAUGGUUUUCUGAUGUCAUGAAUGUCAGAUUGAUAAGGAUUCACCAAGUAGUUAUGAAGGUCAUCGUCAUGCAAAACGAACUUGCAAUUCGACCGCAACGAUGUCUAGAUUUUGAGAAGGAUGAAUCUUUAGAUCAUUAACUGAUGACAUCGAGAAUCUAAUCAUAAAUCGAUUGAGACAAAUCUAUUAGCAUCUUGAUACGUUGAUAAAUCAAAUAUCAUACUUUUCAUAACUAGCUUAAAGUAAUUAAAAAAUUGAAAGUUGGUAUUAGAAUUGAUGUCUCAUACCAAGAAAAAUUAAUUAAUUAUUUUCCAAAACCCCCUUCAACCUUAUAAAUAUAGGGUGGAAUUUCAGCCAUUCCCCUACUUAAUGAUGAUCAAAAGGAGAUAAAGAGUCUUUUGAUUUUUGGAGGGAAAAUUUUAAAAAUCAACCAUCAUGAUGAUUGGACAACACAAGAUAUGGGAAAUAAUCCUUGGAAGAGAAACCGUCCUCUACGAAAAGGCAACUGCCUUUUGGAAGAAAAGAAUUUUUCUCUCCAAAUCGUGCGUCCUGAGAAAUCGUGUAUAUAAGGAAUGGGAAGGGUUGGGAUUUUCAAAACCCUUGGAUGCCUUUUUCUCCGUCUCUUCCUUCUCCAGUCGAAAAACAAUGUUGAUCGAAGAGCUUCCUCCGUCUCCUCCAAGUGAUGACGAUAUCAUCGAACUGUUGGAUGAAGACGUCCCACCAGGUUUUUCUAAGAAGAGGAGAGGAGCAAACAAAGUCCUGUACUUUGAAGGUACCCCGACCUUCCGUUCCCCUAAGGCUGAGGAGAACUUCAUGGAACUUCAAGAGGCGCGACUAACACUGGAGGAACCAACCAGAUUCAAGGAUUUAGGACACAAAGAGAUUGAAGAACUGCUCAAAUUUAAUGGACUCGACAAGUAUAUGGAGAGCAUUGAGCAAGUUGAAAUCUUUGAAAAGGAGAUAAGUCAAUUUUAUGCAAAUCUAGUUUAUUCUAAGCAUGAUUCAUCACUGUCUACUCGAGUGAACAACUUCGAGAUGAAUGUAUCCAAAGAACUGCUUGCUCGAUGGGGUCCUUUGCCAAGUGAGGGGGUUUGUAUCAACAUGUCAAAAAGUCUGGAUGACCUCCCAUUCACCUGCACGUCUCAACAACUCUGGACAAGCCUCACCGACCCAUCUGAAUCCAGAAGAGAAGGCAAGAUCUAUUUCAAGAAUCUCACUGAGACUACCCUGGUCCUUCUGACAAUCAUAGACAACUGCCUUUGCCUAGUGACCAUUGUCACAGAGAAACCAACAAUGAUGGCUCAGGUAGCUGCAUUUUGCAUUCUGAAUAGGAUCAAGGUGAAUUGGGCAAGUCUUGUCAUGAACAACAUGGUUGUUGUGAGCAAAGUAUCCAGGAAAGCAAGACAUUAUCCCAGACUCAUUUUCAAGUUUCUCAACAAAGAACAUCUUCAUCUGUAUGUAUCUGAGGACUCAAAGAAUCAUCCUCUCAAGUUCUUCACAGCCGCAUCCUUCAAACAGAAGCUGCUCAGGCAAUUCUACAAGGCUGACAAGAAGGAAAUGAAUGCAAUAAGAGAGGAGAUCGAUGAGAUGAAGCUUAUACUGAAUGCACACAUGGACAUGGCUCUUCUGAAUACUGAUACGCUAAUGAGUCUAAAAGACAUACGUGCAAAGAGAAAUGAUUUCGAUGAUGAAGUCUUAAGACAGAUUGAUUUAGUGAACAAGAGCUACGAGAAGUUGGAAGAGCAGAUAAAGCUUAAUGAGGUGAAGAUGGAACUUGCAAAGGCAAAAGUAUGGAACAAGAACUACUUCUUAAGAAACUUGGGUUCACCAAUAACAAAUGACUCGUUUUAGACCACGUUUAAUUUUUUAUUUACUUACAAAACAAUAGUUAUUCUGAUCUGUUGAUAUUUUGGAGAUCUUCACUAUGUUUUGCUUGAAAAAUCUCUUUGGUAGAGAGAUAUUUAAGUGAAGGUCAAAUAUUUUGUUUAAGCUAUAGUUCUUAAUGUGUUAUUUGAUCAAAAUUUCUUGCUUGUGCUUAAUAUUUUCUAUGCUGCUUAAGUCACAAUAUGUGUUCUAUAUUACAUUUGAUCUGCUAAAUUCAUACUCGUUGAGAACAACUUAAUAUUUCUUCAUGACAAGUAUAUUUUCAAGUUGUUCAAAAUAAUGAUUUUAGCCAUGCUUUCUAUACUUAGAACUCACCUGACAUAUCAGAUUUCUUAUAUAAUGAUUACUUGAAUACAUGCGUUAAAAAUUUUGGUUUACUUGAGCAUCUUGAUAUUUUUCAGUUUUUAUUCUAUGCCAUCUUAAGCUUCAUUUAAUAUAUCAGAUUUUUAUUGCUUAAGUUAUGAUGUAUGUUUUAAAUGUCUAUGUGAUUAUGGCUUACAUGCAACUAUCAUUUAAUACUUGCACAUCUACAUAUGUUGGCAUAAAACACAAUUUAUUUAGUGGCAUGUUACAUGUUGCAUUCUAAAUCCCAUGGUAUCAUUGAAUAAUACUUAUGAAAAAUCAUUUAGAAAACGGGGGUUUUAAUUGCAAAAAUCACAUACAUGCAUAUUGAGAUAAUUAAAUAUUCAUUUAGUCCAUUGCACUUAACAAAUAUUUUAUUGGACUAAUAUUUAUAUCUCAAUAGGUCCAAGUCAUUUUUGAAAAUACAUACAUAUUACAUGGAUUAGGGAAAAUGCAUAAAAAGAUUCUCAAGUCAUUCAUAUAAAUUCAUGCAUAUUUUUUAAUUGACUAUGAGAACCCUAGGUCAUUCAUAUAAAAUUCAUUAUCUUUAAAUGACCAAUUUUACGUGAAAAUUACUUUUUAAUCCAUGCAUAAGUAUAAAAUUUUCACGUAAAUUAUUUUGGAUAUAUGUUUAAUGAAUAUAUUAAAAUCUAAUAUGGGCAAACUCUCGUUUUAAUAUUACUUUGGCCCAUAUUAUAUAUGACUUUAUAUAAUAACUAUCAUAGUCAAAGAAACAGGGUUAAAGUCAAAAUUCAGAACACCCGAACACCCCUUUGUCAAUUGCAGAGGGAGAAAGACUCUGGUAUGAUAUAACCAUAGUCUAUAUUUGUUCUAACCCUGGUAUAUGUCUUAUCUAGAUCUCACCUGCAUAUACUCAUAAAAGCUUCAGACAAGGUAAAUUUUCAAAUUACUUUAUGAGUGCAAUAUUUACGAAAUAUAGGGGGAGCUAGAUAAGGAAAUGAUAAGAUAAGGAAAUGAUAAGAUACACCAAAAUAUUGAAAUUAGGGUUUGAAAUUACUCAACAACAAAUAUACCAUUAACAAAGGGGGAGAAUGUAGAAAUAAGAUUCUCAAUGACAUAUUUAGUUAUUAAUUAAUUUGAAAUAUAAUAAACCCUAAUUAACAAGAUAUAUAUGAGUUAAAGCUACAUGAAUAAAUCUAUUAAACUCAUAUAAAUAAAAUUAACUUGAUAUAUGAUUAAACUAAAGUGAGAUCAGUAUUAAUUAUUUCCAUCAAACAAAUCUCCACUGUUGAUCAAAUUAAUUAUUAAAGCUUGUAUUUAAUUAUGCACAUCUAUUUGCUUGCAUUAACUCUUGUUUUAAGUUGAUCAAUGUCUUAAAGGUUAAUCAACAAGGUAUGAAAACUACAACUAUUUAUCCAAGCUUCAAAUGGACCCAAGGUGUAAAAGACGUGUAGAAAUGCAAUCAUGAUAAAUUCCAAUAGCAUAUCCAACAUAUUAACUACAAGAUCUUGGAAUCAAUGCUACAGAAAAUCCUAGAAGAAGAUUUCAAAUUGGAGCAAGGCAAAACGUGUGGAGGUUCAAUCUCCCAAAAUAAAACACAAUCAUGAUCUUGAAUUAAAUACUACACAAUCUCCCAAGAUCACAUUCAAGUUUAAAUGAAGCUCCAUGUCUCUCCAACAUCUAUAUUCAAGCUCUUCUUCCUAGGAGUUUUGAAGAUGAAGAAAUUACCUCCAUGUCAUCAACGACUACUAUAUAAGAAGGUGCACACCCAAGAGCCAAAGCCAUCACUUUCCAUCUUUGCUAAAGCUCUCCUUGAAUCAAAGCUCUAUUCUUUCUUUCUUGCUCAAGCUCUAACUCUCAUUCAAGCUUUGUGUGGGAGUUGCUCUCAAGGUUGUGUGCUUAGUUCUUCAACUUCUUCCCCUCUUGUGUGUUGAGAGUGUGUUAGAAGAAAAGCUCUACAUCUUGUAAGUGGUCCAAGUGUUGUGAGAGGUUUGUCUCAAUACCAACACUUGAAAGGUUCUACGAGUUCAACCAUAAAACUCGGUGUGGUUCUCCAGUGUUUUCGUCAUUACCUUCAGGCUAGUGAUCUCUGUGUUCCAUCGGAACUGGAUUAGCCCUUGUUUGGGUGAACCAGUAUAAAAAUCUUUGCGUCUCUUUUUAAUUUUCGUUUUUCUAUUUUAAAUCUUAACAAGAUAAAAAAAUAAUUAAAAAGAGAUCCCUCAUCCAGUUACCUGGUCAUAGAUUGAGGUUGACUAUUUUCGUGCAGAUCCUUCAUCCAGUUAUCUGAUCACAAUAUACUACAGUUAUAUAGAAGUCACAAUCUAAUAAGUGAACUCAGUAUUCAUAUACUGCAGUAAACUUAUAAAGAACAGACACUUUAUAGAUAUAUAUCUUUGUCUUUGACUUGCAUUCUCACGUAUUCCGCACACUGUCUGAGAAAUCACGAGAAGAGAUUAUUACCCCCCCUAAGCCUCUGAUCCAGAUCCAACAGAGUCAAUCCGUCGAAGAAGGACCCGAAAGACGACCCGUAAUACAGAUUUUAUUUAUGAUUGACAGUUACACUAUGGAGUAAGUAAUGAGUGAGUAAUGAAUAAUAAAACUUGUAACCGCUGGGGUGGUAAUUGCGUCGUUUAUGCUUAGGAGUAAGUAAUAAGUGAGUAAUGAGUAAUAAAAAACUAGUAACAACUGGGGUGGUAAUUGCGUCGGUUACAAGUGCAAUCUUUUCUAUAAAUUCAGAAAUAAAUAAAGGAGAAGCAUCCAAUUUCAGAAUAACCAACUCUACUCCUCCCUGGAUCCCAUUGGGAUACUUCUUCAUCACCUCCGGUCCCCAAUUGGAGAAAAAUUCUUCAUCGCUAUCAUCGAAGUCUGUCCCAGUAGCCUAUUCAUCGACGUCCGAUGAUCGUCACUGCUGCAUUGGUGCUUUCUUAGGAACUCAUUUCUGCUCACACAGGAAAAGUCAGAAACGCUUAUAAACAUUCAAUCUCUCAAGACGUGUCCCAAGCCCUGAUUGGGUCCGUAAUAGGGACAUGAUCAAAGUAAAUCUUAACUUCUUUUUUAUUCGUAAUAUACAUCCAACUCUUAUAUAUACAUGGAAGGACUAUCAGACGAGUUUCUGAAAGAGAUCAGGAAAUUGCUAACAACAAUCAUGACAGAUCAAACAUCACGACUUAGCAAUUUCCAACAUAUGCGAUGAACUGUGUGAAGUAAAACAUCUACUAAAAGGUUUUCAGGGAGGUUCGAGCAGUAAAGGGGUAGAGUCUAGCGGUAAAGGACUCAGAUCAAUCAAGGUAGAUUUUCCGAAAUUCUCAGGCGAAGACCCACAAGGCUGGUUAUACCAAGCAGAGGAUUAUUUCGCAUUUCACUCCAUUCGAGAGGAGGCUAAAAUUCAGAUAGCAACUUUAGACACAUGACAAAAAACGAAAUAAAUUGAUAUCGACAUGGCCAAAAUUCGUAGAAGAUUUGACAGAACGUUUUAGGAGCUCCGCGUUCGAAGACAAACUAAAGGACCUCUCCCGAUUCAGCAGAUAGGAUCGGUGGUUGCUUACAUGGCUCAGUUCGAAGGAUUGCUAAAUGAAGUAGAAGGGCAGUUGGAGGAGUCUUUCAUGACAUUUUUUAUCGGAGGACUAAAAUCUGAAAUCAAAAGCCAAAUGAAAAUAGCACGCCCUACAACACUUAGGAAAGCGUUUCAUGACAUCGAAGAUUUAUGAGUCAAAUCGCGGGAUCAACCCAUGGUUCCAAUUGUACGGCGAACACUCACAGUAGAGGAACGAAAAGAAAGAACGGCCAAUGGCCUAUGCUUUAAUUGCGAUGAACAAUUCUUUCUGGGUCAUCGUUGCAAGGGGAAAUUAUUCCGCAUGAACGUUGGCCAAGACUGUUUAACCGAGGUAGUUGAGAUCGAGCCCGAACCAGACCCGACGUUAGAAGAAACGAACAGGGACAUGGAGAUCAGCGCACUAUCGGGUUCUUAUAACCCAAGAACGAUUCAGAUGGAGGGGUCAGGGCCAACAACUAUCCGUACUCAUCGACAACGGAAGCACGCACAAUUUUAUUCAAAAUUCAGUGGCGCACAAAUUAGGAAUAGCACGAUAAGAGCUACAAGAGUUCCGAGUAUUCAUAGGCAGCGGCGACUACCUAAUUUUCCACGAAGUUUGCCGUUAGGUCAAAAUUACGAUCCAAGAUACGGUGGUGACACAGGACAUGUCCACACUAACCAUGGAAGGCACAAAUGUGGUGUUGGGGGUGCAAUGGCUCGAAACGCUCGGUAUCGUGAAAACAGAUUAUAAACAAUUAACGCUGGAGUUCGAAUGUGGUGACACGCUGGUGAAAUUAAAAGGGAAUUCUCAAAUCUCAGACUUGGAUAUCUCCAAUCAAGGACUACGGCAGAUGGUAGCUCGGAAGGAAGUUGCGUAUUUCUGCCAUCUGUUGUGUGAACCAUAUCAAAUCCACCGACGGUGGAAAUUCUGGGAAUUACAGAGGUAUUAAAUCACUUUGAAGAGUCCUUCAAAGAACCUACGGAAUUACCCCCAACCAGAGUAACAGACCACCGGAUCACACUCAUAGCCGGAGCCCAACCGGUCAACGUAAACCCCUACAUGUAUCCUCACUUUCAGAAGAACGAAAUCGAGAGACUCACAAAAGAGAUGUUGCAGAAAGGACUGAUCCAUCAGAGCAUUAGCCUCUUUUCAUCACCAGUGCUACUCGUCGACUACCGCGCUCUAAAUUCCGUGAAUGUAGAGUUGAUCGAUGAGUUGUACGGAGCCCAGAUCUUCUCGAAGUUAGACCCACGAGCAGGGCACCAUCAAAUUCUCGGAUCAAAGAGGAGGAUAUUCCAAUGAUGGCCUUCCGAACCCAUCACGAACAUUAUGAAUUCACGGUAAUGCCGUUUGGGCUAACAAACGUCCCAGUCACCUUUCAAGCGGCGAUGAACAACUUAUUUUCAUAGAACUUUCGAAAAUUCAUGGUCAUUUUUUUCGACGAUAUAUUGAUCUACAGUCGGACGACGGAUGAGCAUUUACGACACCUGAAGCGGGUAUUUACGAUCUUAAGCUCGAAUUGCUUACUAGUGCGCAAAUCAAAAUGUUGAUAAAACAAGUUAGAGCGUUUCUAGGCCUGACCGGCUACUAUUGUCGCUUCAUCAACCGAUAUGCCCAAGUAGCCACCCCAAUAACAAAUCUGCUGAAAAAGGGCAAAUUCCAAUGGAAUGCAGAAGCGGAGGAAGCAUUCAAAGAGUUGAAAAACAUCUUGACUACCGCUCCGGUCCUCAUUUACCCCAAUUUCGAAGAACCAUUCGUAUUAGAGACAGAUGCCUGUAAUGUGGGAGUGGGAGCGGUACUUCUACAGAACGAUCACCCGCAUACUAUAGCAAGAAACUAUCUGUGCUAAGACAAAGAGCAUCAACCUGCCAAGGAAUUGUGGAUAAACUAUUAAGAAUAUUACAUCAAAAACCCUCCAAAAUUAAUCAUUAUCCCAUAGAUCCUUGAUCUUUCAAUUCCCCAAUUAAUAUUGAUAUAACCGUUGGUAAUUAACAUCUAAACCUGUUUAUAAAUAAGGAUUAAGACUAUUCAAUCAUUCACUUUUCGAUUCAAAAAUCCAUGUCUUCAGAUUGAAGAUUCAAACUUCCUCCAAAUUCAAAUCAAUCCUGCAAUCCUUCUCUAGUGUCAAGAUCAUUGUCAUCAUUUGCAUCUGAAUCAUCUUCAUCUUCUACUCUGCAACAAGAGGCGGAGCAUCUUCGAUUUGAUUUCACCAUCAUCUCUCAAUCACUCCAGAAUCUGUAUUAUUACAUUAUUUACAUUUGGAAUAUUUCAUUCAUAAUCUUUGCUUAUUUCAUAUUCUUUGUAUCUCACUUAGUUGUUCAAUCUGAAUCAGUACAUAAACAUCAUAUAUAAUUCUAAUGAACCCUUGUAUCUCACUUAGUUGUAAAUAAAUUGAUGUAGAAACCAUUAUGCGACGAUAGGAACCCUUGUCGAAGAGAAAAAUGAUAUUGUCCCUGCCUGAGUCAAUUACUGUACGAAAUCCUUCCAUUUAAAACUAGUUUUUGAAUUUAUGAGGGUGUGGAUUUUUUAUUUUCAGACUCUGAGUUUAAUUUCGUCAGAGGCUAGAUGAAGAAAUGAUGCUCAAGAAUUUGAGUAAUCAAAUCAAAAGAGAGACCUUACAUCCUGUAACACCAGGACCAUUUACAAAACAAAAUAUAUGAUACAAUUAUACAACACAGGAAAGAUUUAAAAUAAAACAGAUAACAAAAUAAGAUAACCGAGUUAAGGAUUAUCUUGAUUCUUGAAUAUGAGUUAAGAUUAAAAAAGAAGCAUGAUUAAUAUCAAAAGAAAGCUAACUAAAUAAGAUUAAGGACAUUAUAGUAGUAAAUAAAUAUUAAAUACCUAGUUAAGAGGGGGAAGGGAAAUGGACUUAACUAAACAGCAAUUGCACUUCUGCCUUUCUUCUUCUUUUUAAUCUCGCUAGCAGUAAGAUCAUCACCAGUGAGUUCACUGCUUUUCUUCUUGGUCUUCUUUUUAGCUGUUUCAUUUUGCUCACCAUCACAAUCAUUCACAACGGUGGUAAUAUCUAUCGGAACAGCCUUUUCCGACUCCUUCUUACUCUUACUCUUCUUGAUCUCACUACCAGUAAGAUCACUACCAGUGAGCUCACUGUUCUUCUUGGUCUUCUUUUUAGCCGUUCCAUUCUGCUCAGCUUCGAAACCAUUCACAACAGUGGCAAUAUCCAUCGGAACAGGUUUAUCUGAGUCCUUCCUCUUUUUACUCUUACUCUUCUUCUCAGUGCCUUGAUCUGCAGAAUCUAUUUCCAGCAUUGGUUCGUCACCUUUGGAUUUUGACUUCUUGAUCUUCUUGGAAGAAACCACCUCCAUUGCUGGCUCGCUAUCUGUAAGGGUAAAAAAUUAUUCUAAACACCAAGAUAUAUAUAUUUUUGGUUGGAGGAAGAAUUGGGAGAUACAAUGACAAUUUAAUAGGAGGUUCCCUGGAUAUACAUUACCUUCUAAAACUUUUUCAAUGGCAGUUUUCAUGACAUCAAUGUUUUUCCGUGGAGCAACUCCCUUGUCAUAGAAGGACAAUCUUUCCUCAACCUGUUCACGGAGAUUAUCUCCAAACACAGUAGACGCAACAUCUACACAGAAAAUCAAAGUCGAUCCAUAUUGAUAAGCGAAACGUAAAGGAGCUUUAAUUUUGUAAGCACAAAAGCUUACCAGAGAAGCAAUCUAUGCGACUUGCAAUCGAACACUUAUUUGCAAGGUAACGAGCAAGACGACCCUUGUUACGUGUAGAAGCACGCCCAAUAAAAGAAGAGUGAAAUAUAAGACCAUAUUUUGGCGUGUUUCCUUUAGUCUUCAACGCUCUGUAAGAUGCAUAACAAACUAGUCGUUUAGAUAUUUACUCAAACAUUACAAGCAGGUCCUAACAUUACAAGCAGAAUACCUGAAAAGUGCCUUUUCAGCACCUAAGAUUUGAAGAGUGGAAGCAGGGCAUUUGGCAAGAUUUGUUAAACUUCCAGCAUGUGAUAUCAGACGAGCACCGACAACUUCACCAAUGAGUGCAGCCAGGUUGGGUGCAAUGUCGCUCAUUUUGGAUACAAGAUAGUCAUAAAGUUUCUUCCUGUAUUCUGUAAGAGAAAGCACUUUACCAGCAAACAUCUGGACAUUACAUAGAUCAACAGGCGUUAAAUCCUGACCUGCAAAAAACGAAUGUGAACUAAACGACUAGUUUAAGAGCAAAUAAACUUUAAAGACGAAUAAAACUGAAAAUAUUAAAUAAUCUACCCAUGGAUGCUUUAGCUGCUUCAACAACUUCUUUGGCUUGGUCUUCGUCACCUAGUAUCUCGGUAAGCCUGGGAAUGUCAUCCUCAGUCAAUUUUGAUUUAUCAUCAACAGCCUUGGCAACCUUGGCAUACAGGUAAUUGUCAUUGACAAUCUUCACAAGCUCUGGAAAAUGCCACGAGUACCACUCCCUGAUUCUCAUUGAGAAUGUAUUGAUAUCUUUGUCAAGAGUAUCCAGGAGGAAAAUGGCUUGGAUAACCAUAUUAUCAACACGGUUUACAUUGAACUUAACCUUAGCUCUGCUGUAACUAUGACCUAAUCCCAGCUGGGCCUUGUCUAAGUCAGAAGACUGAAAAAAUUAAAACAAGACGAAAAUUAAUUAAUAUAUACUGCAAAUAGUUAUUACUGCUUUAAAAAGAUAUAUGAUUGUACCUUAAGAUUCUUAAUAAACCGAUCAAAAUGAAGUCUCACACCACGGAGAAGCUCAAGAACAAACUCAUUACUCUGACAAGGUAUUUUGGUUGUUUCUGAAAUUUGAGAACCGAUCUUAGGUUCAGCAAGUCCAAGACUGAAUUUGGGCUUCUUUCCUUCCUUAACUUUUGGCAGAUUGAGUUCCAAAAAGCUCCUCAGUUCAUCAGUCAUGAUACCUUGAUUGCAAACAAGGACAUCCAAUAAAAAAAAAUACAAAUUCAAAUGCAAUCAAUAAUCCGUAGACCGAUAAAAUAAACUCAAGUCGCAUUGAAGAAAAAAUAUUUCUACUUUAAACUAUAUCGAUAUUUAUUUCACACGUAAUAUCAAUUUUUUUUAUAUGAGUCGGAGUGCUAAUCCGUUUUAUGAGUUAUCUAUAUUUGUAUUAACUAAACGAAUUGAAAAAGAAACCCAGAAGAAUCUUAAAGGGAAAAACACAAGAACAAUCAUAUAAAAAAAGAGCAAUGCAGUAACAGACAAACCUUCAGAGAUCGCGUUGCACUGGUUAAGAGCAUCAAGCGCGGAGGCAAAGGGAUUGAAAGCCGUUAAUUUGACUACCUUACCAAAUCUAGUAAGAUCAAGAACAGAGGUCUUCACGGCCUCUGUAUUCUGUCCAAUCUCGUCUAUCCCAUGAGCCUGGAAGAGAGAGUAACCUGACGCCGAUUCAUAGAGAAGAUAUAAAGCCAUCGAUCGGGCGACGAAAGUA